GGUACUUCAGCCCUUCGCAGCCCGACGCUAGGGGCCUGGCAGGGGGCAGCAAGAGACCGCGGUGAGCGCGGGGUAUUGAACGCCAAAGAAGGGGUUUGGAGGGUGGGGUGGGGCCUGGGACUCCCAGUCGCCUGGGCAGAUGUCCGUGGGGAACUGUAAGGCAUCUUAUAGGGAUCCUACAGGGGGCAUCCACUGCCGGCCGACGACACGUGGUGGAAAAGUAGCUAUUAUUUACAUGCGUGUUGCAGUUUUUGAUAAUGCGAUUGCUGCUGCUAAUGUGACUAACGCGAUGCCGAUGAACAUCUCGGCGUUUUUUGGUGCAGGAUAAGCGGGUGUAGACUCUGUCUGUUUAGUCCCAGAUUCUCCUCCUUUAAUGAACUACCGUGGAAAUCCUGGAGUGUCACUGCUGGUCUGAAUUCAGCAUCCGCCUUCAGGCUGGAAAUCAAUUCUAGUAUACUUCGAUUUCCUUACUUGCAGUUCGAAUUCAAAUAUGAUUCUUUUGACAUUGUGAGGGUUUGCGCUAUUUAAAGAAUGGAGGCAACCGAAACCUCAUCUCCACAGUGGAUGCAUUUUUGCUCCCUCCCGAGGCGUUGCCUUAAGCCACGCGGUCCUGUCAGCCUCACCUGCCUAGUGAUGGUGACAAUGGAAGAGAUAAAGCUUCAAUUCAAGGCACUUCUCCUGUGACCAUCAAAAGAAAGAUAAUAUCUACAUUAAUGAAUUAAUUGUGUCUGUCGAGUUAUCCUCAGGAGACGAUGGUGAUUUGGUCCUUAAAAAAACACAGGAUCAACAGGAUUGACCCUGAAUUCUACAAAGAGGAAAAAUUUCAGGCAUUACUAACUCCUCCAUGAUUACCUGAAGCUGAGUAAUUUAUAAAGAAAAGAAGUUCAAUUGGCUCACAGUUCUGCAGGCUGUACAGGAAGCAUGGCACUGACAUCUUCUCAGCUUCUGGUGAGGGCCUCAGGAAGUUUACAAUCAUGGUGGAAGGCAAAGGGGGAGCAAGCGUCUCAUGUGGCAAGAGGGAACAAACAGGAGACAGGAGGUGCCACACACUUUUAAACAACAGGAUCUCACAAGAGCUUACUCUUACAAGGACAGCACCAAGAAUAUGAGGAAUCUGCCCGCAUGACCCAAACACUUCCCUCCAGGCCCCACCUCCAACACUGGGGAUUACAUCUCAACACUGGAUUUGGAGGGGACAUCCAAACUAUAUCAAGGCUGUACAAGAAGCUUGGUGCCAGCAUUUGCUUCUACGCAGAGCCUCAGGCUGCUUCUACUCACAGUAAAAGGCAAAAGGGCAUGCAAAGAUCAUGUGGCAAGAGAAGAAGUGAGGGAUGGGGGAUGCCAUGCUCUUUUUAACAACCAGCUCUCAUGGGAACCAAGAGGGACAACUCACUCAUUAUAGCACCAAGCCUGUAUCCCUCCCAUUAUGCCCUACCUCCAACAUCGAGGAUCAAAUUUCAACAUGAGGUUUGGAGGCUCAAAUAUCCAAACAAUGGCAUUAUGUCAGGAUCAUAAAGCUAAUGUUUGUGAAACCAGGAUCUGAACCCAAGCUAUUGCUUCUAGAACCUGUACUCUUAAGCCCUUGCUUAUACUGCAUUUGAAAUUAUGCUUCAUUGUAUAAAAAGUCCUUUUCACCUCAAGCUUAUAGAGAAGUCACCUUGUUCUUAAAAAGUCCUUUACACUUCAAGUUCAUAAAGCUCAGGCACAUAUAUUUUCUUCCAGUACGUUCAUUAUUAUUUUUCUUGGUUUUCCUUUAAAUCUUUGAAUCAUCUGGAUUUUAUUUUGGAAUGAGAAAUGAAGUAGAAAUUUAUUUUUGUUUCUUUUCAGAAUGGCUGGUCAAUUGUCCUAACAUCAUUUAAUGAAUAGUAUUUAUUUCCCCUUUGCUUUGAAAUACUACUUUAUCAUAUACUAAAUUAUAAAGUAAUCUUUUAUUAUCAUUUUUGAAUGACUGCAUUCCAGUUGUGGAAGAUAUUACUCAAAGUCUGUUGUGAUUAUCUAACUUAAGUGUUGAUAUGAAGAAAGGAAAGUAGGUUUCAGCCUGAUUUAAGAAUUUUCCUCCUCUCCCUCUCCCUCUCCCUCUCCCUCUCCCUCCCCCUCCCCCUGCCCCUCCCUGUCUCCCUCUCUCUCUCCCUCUCUUUCUACGUCUCCCUCUCUUGCCGAGCCUGGACUGUACUGCCAUGAUCUCGGCUCACUGCAACCUCUCUGCCUCAGGCUCCCAUGAUUCUCCUGCCUCGGCCUGCUGAGUGCCUGGGAUUCCAGGCACGCACCACCACUUCUGACUGAUUUUUGUAUUUUUGGUGGAGACGGGGUUUCACUGUGUUGACCGGGCUGGUCUCCAGCUCCUGGCCUCGGGUGAUCUGCCCCCCUCAGCCUCCCGAGGUGCUGGGAUUGCAGACGGAGUCUCGCUCACUCAACGCUCAAUGUUGUCCAGGCUGGAGUGCAGUGGUGUGAUCUCAGCUCGCUACAACCUCCACCUCCCAGCCGCCUGCCUUGGCAUCCCAAAGUGCUAAGAUUAUAGCCUCUGCCUGCCCGCCACCCCGUCUAGGAAGUGAGCAGCGUCUCUGCCUGACCGCCCAUCGUCUGGGAUAUGAGGAGCCCCUCUGCCCAGCUGCCCCGUCUAGGAAGUGAGGAGCGCCUCUGCCCAGCCGCCAACCCGUCUAGGAAGUGAGGAGCGUCUCUGCCUGGCCACCCAUCAUCUGGGAUGUGAGGAGCGCCUCUGCCCGGCCGCCCUGUCUGGGAAGUGAGGAGUGCCUCUGCCCAGCUGCCCCAAAUGGGAAGUGAGGACCGCCUCUGCCUGGCCGCCCUGUCUGGGAAGUGAGGAGCGCCUCUGCCCGGCCGCCCCAUCUGGGAUGUGAGGAGCGCCUCUGCCCGGCCGCCACCCCGCCUGGGAGGCAAGGAGCGCCUCUGACUGGCAGCCCCAUCUGGCAACUGAGGAGCGCCUCUGCCCGGCCGCCACCCCAUCUGGGAAGUGGGGAGCGCCUCUGCCCGGCCGCCCCAUCUGGGAUGUGAGGAGCGCCUCUGCCCGGCCGCCCCGUCUGGGAAGUGAGGAGCGCCUCUGCCCGGCCACCCUGUCUGGGAUGUGGGGAGCGCCUCUGCCCAGCCGCCACCCCGUCUAGGAAGUGGGGAGCACCUCUGCCCGGCCGCCCUGUCUGGAAAGUGAGGAGCACCUCUUCCCAGCCGCCACCCUGUCUGGGAUGUGAGGAGCGCCUCUGCCCGGCCGCCCCGUCUGAGAGGUGAGGAGCGCCUCUGCCCGGCAGCUGCCCCGUCUGGAAAGUGAGGAGCAUCUCUGCCCGGCAGCCCCGUCUGGGAAGUGGGGAGCGCCUCUGCCCAGCCGCCCCAUCUGGGAGGUGGGGAGCACCUCUGCCCGGCCGCCCCAUCUGGGAGGUGGGGAGCACCUCUGCCCGGCCGCCCAUCAUCUGGGAAGUGAGGAGCGCCUCUGCCUGGCCGCCCAUCAUCUGUGAUGUGAGGAGCACCUCUGCCCGGCCGCCCCGUCUGGGAAGUGGGGAGCGCCUCUGCCCGGCUGCCCAUCGUCUGGGAAGUGAGGAGCGCCUGUGCCCGGCCACCCAUCGUCUGUGAUGUGAGGAGCGCCUCUGCCUGGCUGCCCCAUCUGGGAGGUAAGGAGCGCCUCUGCCCGGCCGCCCCGUCUGGGAGGUGAGGAGUGUCUCUGCCCGCCCGCCCAUCAUCUGGGAAGUGAGGAGCGCCUCUGCCCGGCCGCCCAUCGUCUGGGAUGUGAGGAGCGCCUCUGGCUGGCCGCCAUUCGUCUGGGAGGUGAGAAGCGCCUCUGCCCAGCCGCCCCAUCUGGGAAGUGAGGAGCACCUCUGCCCAGCCUCCCCGUCUGGGAGGUGAGGAGCACCUCUGCCCGGCCUCCCCGUCUGGGAGGUGAGGAGCGUCUCUGCCUGGCUGCCCCGUCUGGGAGGUGAGGAGCACCUCUGCCCGGCCGCCCCGUCUGGGAGGUGGGGAGCACCUCUGCCCGGCCGCCCAUCGUCUGGGAGGUGAGGAGCGCCUCUGCCCGGCCGCCCAUCAUCUGUGAUGUGAGGAGCACCUCUGCCGGGCCGCCCCGUCUGGGAAGUGGGGAACGCCUCUGCCCAGCUGCCCAUCGUCUGGGAAGUGAGGAGCGCCUGUGCCCGGCCACCCAUCAUCUGUGAUGUGAGGAGCGCCUCUGCCCGGCUGCCCCAUCUGGGAGGUGAGGAGCGCCUCCGCCCGGCCGCCCUGUCUGGGAGGUGAGGAGUGUCUCUGCCCGCCCGCCCAUCAUCUGGGAAGUGAGGAGCGCCUCUGCCCAGCCGCCCAUCGUCUGGGAUGUGAGGAGCGCCUCUGCCCAGCCGCCCAUCGUCUGGGAUGUGAGGAGCGCCUCUGCCUGGCUGCCCCAUCUGGGAAGUGAGAAGCGCCUCUGCCCGGCCAUCUCAUCUGGGAGGUGUACCCAACAGCUCCGAAGAGACAGCGACCAUCGAGAACGGGCCAUGAUGACGAUGGCGCUUUUGUCGAAAAGAAAAGGGGGAAAUGUGGGGAAAAGAAAGAGAGAUCAGAUUGUUACUGUGUCUGGUAGAAAGAAGUAGACAUAGGAGACUCCAUUUUGUUCUGUACUAAGGAAAAUUCUUCUGCUUUGGGAUGCUGUUAAUCUAUAACCUUACCCCCAACCCCGUGCUCUCUGAAACAUGUGCUGUGUCAACUCAGGGUUAAAUGGAUUAAGGGUGGUGCAAGAUGCGCUUUGUUAAACAGAUGCUUGAAGGCAGCAUGCUCGUUAAGAGUCAUCACCACUCCCUAAUCUCAAGUACCCAGGGACACAAACACUGCGGAAGGCCACAGGGACCUCUGCCUAGGAAAACCAGAGACCUCUGUUCACGUGUUUAUCUGCUGACCUUCUAUCCACUAUUAUCCUAUGACCCUGCCACAUACCCCUCUCCGAGAAACACCCAAGAAUGAUCAAUAAAUACUAAAAAAAAAAAAGAAUUUUCCUUUAUAGAUUAUUUUUCUUUUUAACAAAAUUAAAAGGAUUUAGUUAAGCAUAUUUUGGUUCAAACUUUCCAGUUGUUAUAGAAGUGUGAAAAAUGCAAACUGAGCUUGAAGGAAUAUUGAAUAUCUUGUCCAACCCCCGUUAUUUAUAGAUAAGGAAACUGAGGUCCAAAAUGGUAAA
rnacentral:lncRNA from 1 species